AUAAACUUUUUUUGUUCAAAAUACCGUCAGUGCGAAAUAGCUAGAAAGCUUUCGUAUUUCCACUUGGCUGUACCUACGGUUACGAGAACGAUACAUCAUGUGCAAUACCUGCGUCGGCCUUUGUCGAGCAGCAAAACACCGGAAAGCUUCAAGCCUGCAGGAAAGUUACAAGAGGAACAAGAAGGAGAGAGGGGCCCUAGGAGGGACGUAAAGGAGUUGAUGAAAUCCUGUUAAGACAGACAAUCAGAUGGUAUGGCCUCUGAGGACCCCUAAGACCAACUGGAUGAGGCUAUUAAAAAGGCAGAACGCCUUGCUGAGGAGCUCAACCAAGAGAAGGACCCACAAGCCCAACUGGACGAGGCCGUUAACGAGGCAAAAAGACUGGCUGAGGAGCUCAACCCAAAACGGGAAAAGAAGAAGAAAAAGACAAACAAGCCUCCAGGGAUUAGGUUCAGAUGGAGACAAAGGGAUGAGAGAGGACAGAUUGUUUCUCAAACCAGGAAGGCAACUACAUCCACUUCUGUUGCUCCAAGGGCCAAUACAUCAAGAGCCAGACUAGUGCAACAUUUUGGGCCAGUCACUGAGGAAGAAUCAGGUAUUGAUGAGCGAUUGAAUAUAUUAAUCUAUACCAUUCCAUGUUAUUCAGUGGCCUUGUAAUUAAUUGAUUGUAUUUUUAUUAAAUCUGUAAUUGAUAGUUGAAACAAUAACAAAGCACACUCCCUUCCCCUGUUUAGGUUAAAAGCUGAGUGAUGAGGUUGGCGAAAUGUAACCACUUUCAAUUUAUUGACAGAGUUAUUAUUGCAAUAACUUACCAUCAAUGUUAUUAAAAUAAUAGUUUUAACCAUAUAGCAUUAAUAUAAAUCCAAAAAUGGCUUUAUCAACUUCCGAAUGUCCCUUUAAGUCUAAUCCUUUCCUUUUUUGCAUAUCUUAUUUUAGAGAUGAGGACCAGUAGAUUGGAAUCCACUCCAGUUUUAAACAUUGAUGAAUAAAUAGGACAGCCUCAAUUCGUCAGGGCAUGGCCUCUACAAGGUGUCGAAAGCGUUCCACAGGGAUGCUGGCCCAUGUUGACUCAAAUGCUUCCCACAGUUGUGUCAAUUUGGCUGGAUGUCCUUUGGGUGGUGGACCAUUCUUGAUACACACGGGUAAAUGUGGAUUGUGAAAAACCCAGCAGCGUUGCAGUUCUUGACACAAACCGUUGGACCUGGCACCUACUACCAUACCCCUUUCAAAGGCACUUAAAUAUUUUGUCUUGCCCAGUCACCCUCUGAAUGGCACACAUACACAAUCCAUGUCUCAAUUGUCUCAAUGCUUAAACAUCCUUCUUAAACCUGUCUCCUCCCCUUUAUCUACACUGGUGGAUUUAACAGGUGACAUUAAUAAGGGAUCAUAGCUUUCACCUGGUCAGUCUGUCAGGGAAAGAGAAUGUUUUGUACUCAGUGUGUUGUUGCUGUUUUCAGAACAUUCAGAAUUUCUAUUCGAUGAUGGGAUCAAGUUAUAUUGUUUGAUAUUCCAAUUUAGACUUUACUCAACAUUUUGGUCUGCCAUGUAAUUGAAUUUACUGUAGAAUCAAAGCUGAUGUUUUUGGCUUGUCACACCAUAGAUUGUGCAGAGAUAUAUUUGAUGUCACCUACUUACAGCCCUAUGUGUGUUUUAAUAGAUUAAUUAUAUAAUAUUCUUAAUUUAAUCAUUUUCCCAUUUUUGUGUUUUCAAAAAAGCAAUACUUCAUAGAGAAAUUAACAUCCUCCUAGCUGACUUAGAAGACCCUGAGUGUUCAAAUCCUGCUGUGCCUGGUGCAUCACAGAGUUGGAGUGUGAGGAAGGAACUCUCACAGGAUAGGUGGGGGAGUCCAGGCCUGAGAUUGUAGAUUCUCUGCUGGCUGCAGAACAUGCUUCUCAGAAGAUCUGUCAGUCAUGCAAUGUGAAAAGGGCUAUUCUGCGAUGUAGAGACUGUCUGCCGAAACAGCUUUACUGCGAAGACUGUGAUGUCUCUACACAUGCAAAGUUCCCCCUGCACAACAGAGAGUUCAUGAUCGAGGGGUUCUACACACCCCUUCCUCCAACUACAGCCAUAUCUCUCCACAGUGAUGGCAAAUAUGCACUUCAUGAACAGGAUUGUUUCUUACCAUUGGACGUACCAGAGGUGAUAUGUGGUUGACUGACGAGCACCAUCCAUGUUGGCCCUGGGAAACAUAUAAUACUCGUAGGAAUAAAUGGUCGCUACAAUGUCACAGUGCCUGUGCCUACCUGCACAACUUGUCUUAGCACCUGGACAGCAAACUUGGCAGAUCUGAUAAAGAAUGAGUACUGGCCUGCCACUGUCAACUGUGACACCAUGUAGACCUGUUCAGCCCUUUUGAGUAGCUGAAAGUGUCAGCCCCAUGAAUGUCCCGUCUAGCGUUUAUGCGGAUUUUGGAGCAGCGAACUGACUACUUUGGCAGGAACGGAAUGAUCUGUGGGGACACUUUUCAAAAAAGCUUCUUUGAGUGGACGUACUGCCGCUCUGAAAUUGAUCAGGUCUGUGAUAUACAGUACUUUGACUGCCCAGCCUGUUCACCCAGCAUGCUUGUAGUGUCAGUGGACGGGAACAAGAAGCUGUAUCGAUUCAAAAAAGGGUUAUGGAAAAGGGGUAUGUGGAGCAUCCCAGUGGUCAGCAGCUAAAGAGUCGUCAAGGAAAACAAACAGCAAACUUGUUGAAGAGGGACUCGAAGUUGCCGUCUGCCGCCACGGAAUACUUCUAAGGAGCCUCAACACGAUGCGUGGAGAGAUAUUUGCGUACCCAUUGUUCUUGCAGAAGGAAUUGUCUGGCAACCUGAACAUACAAUUCAUGUGUACGGAUGUGAUCUGCAAAUUUUGGCCAUACCUGACCAAAGUUGCCCUUCAUUGUCCAGAGCUCGCCACUCUUCUAGACAUGAAGCCACUUCUUUCUGUCAUGCAUGCAAAGGCACAUCGUUUGAAAUGUGAGAUUAAGUGGGGAGGUCGGAAUCAGGAAGGAGCUGACACAACUCUAGGGGAGGAAGUGGAACAAGGCAACAGCUUCUUGUCGAGGGCUGCAAUCUGUUCCAAGCAAAUGUCCAAAGGAGCAAGAACAAACAUGCUAACCAUCCAGGCUAUGGGGUGGAACAGAAGGAAGAAAAAGAACCUGCACAGAGUAUUGUCCAGAAGAUACUUGAAGACAACAGCAAAAAUCCAGGAGUAGACCCAGACUCGAAAAGUUUAGGAGUGAUUUGGGUGUAGGUGAUGAGACUCUGUACAACUGGACAACGGAAGUUCUGCAAUGGGCUAAUACAGAGGAAACAAAUGAGAGCAUGGAUGGUCAUCAGGUACUACAUAGAACAAUUGAAGUCCUGUUUCUUAGCAUCAAACAAAGGAAACAGAACCUCUACUGUCAGACAGAAGGACACAAGAAAAGACACCCUCGGUGCAGAAAGAUAUUGGAAGAAAAGGCCAAAUUGACAGCUGCCAUAGAGGAGUACAACACCCUUGUACCAGAUUCAGCAAUACCAUCUGCAGAUGAGAUCCUUUCCGCAGACCUUCAUGCAUGGCCUUGGGAGCUGCAUGGACAAACUGAUCUACUCACAAAGACAAUAGCCUUUGACCGGGUGAUGCUCCUGAGACAGCUGGAGGACGAAGAGUUAAUUGUCCUAAAGGAAGUCUAGCAGCACUGGGAAAGCCUAAAGAGGGAAUCGGAGAAUGUGCAAGACCUUGCUUCACAUGUGGCACUUGACCUAAGCAGGCAAAGCUGGCAAUUGAAUCAGUCAGUAGCUGGGAGCAGAGGUCUCUUCUCCAUGCUUCAGAGGAGAGUCAGCAGCCUCAGAAGUUACCAGGACUCUGUCAAACUGAUAUACAGCAAAGCUAUGGGCCAAGACACCUCCCUCCUAGAAAAUAACUUCAUAGAUGACCUCCUGGAAGAGGACCUAGAUGACAUCUAUGACAGCAUCCACUACAGCUCUGAUGACGAGGAAUCUAUCACAGACUGAAGGUGUUUGUUUGGGUGGGUGCAGUUUGCACUGGGUAAAAAGUGAUUCCAUUUGUUUUGCAUGUGUGUUUUAUCUGCCUUCGUAAGGAAAAAUAGUUUGAGCAUUUUUUGGAAAAUAAACUUUUAUUUUUCUUCCUUGUUGACAAUGUGAUCAUGUGGCACAGAUUUGAGAAGGGCGCUAUUCCAGCUUUUGCCCGGUUACAUGACCAGGUCCGAUGCACCCCUUUAAAAUGGCCAAUCUGCAGUUGAGACAUUCACUUUUGGAUGCUUGAAGAAUAUAAUUUAUAAAUGCCUCAUGAAUAUAGUUCACCUGCCGUACCCCAUCAGACCCCAAAGUAUAUAUUUUUGUUCUACUCUGUUUGUAAACAAAGUUAAUGUAAACAUACACUCGCAUGUGUCAAACUCAUUCCACAUGGGUGAGCCAAGUGUCUGUCUGGGUUUUCGCUCCUCCCAUAAUUGAUGACUUAAAGUCACUAAUUAGUAAGGAACUCCCCUCACCUGGUUGUCUAGGUCUUAAUUGAAAGGAAAAAACAAAAACCAGCAGACACAAGACUCUCCGUGGAAUGAGAUUGGCACCACUGGACUAUAGCCUCAAAACAUGGUUUAAACUAUUGUUCCAUUUCUCCAGCCCCAUCCCUCUGCUUUUUACAGAACCAUUGGCAGGGAGAAGGAUUUAUUGUUUCACCUGGUGAUUUCCGAUUUAAACAUUGUUAAACUGUAAUGUACUGUGCUUGUGUGUGUUUAUUAGUUAAUAAAAAACUAAAAAAGGUU